AUGAGGAUUUCGGAUAUCUUUAUAGGUGCAAGAAGCAGGCAAGGGAGCCUUGGAAUUAUUGACAAGAGCCUUUGUAAACACCUUCCAACCAGUUUUCUUCACAGUUACCACGAAAGGAACAGGCUUGUGAGAGGGCCACAAAGGAGCUUAGGUUUCCUGACAAACUCUGAAUGGCCUUCCCUGUAUUACCAACGGCUGACUUUGUUCCUGGUGGUGCCAACAGUGGGCAUGAAGCCAGCCCUUCUGUUUAUGAGCAGCUCAAGGUCAGGUGGGCUUGGACUACCUGACUUUUCAUUAGGUCUUCUCACCUGAAGGACGUUGGGAAGACUUUAAUUGGAAUCAGAAGAACUGGGAACAGCUGUUGGUGUUUGCAGCCACACAUGUUUGAGAUCAGUUAUCUUUUGACAUAAUGACCAAGCUUUUUUGUUAUGUCAGAUGAGAUAAAAGUAAGUAUUUGCUGCUACAGUUUCCCCUGAUAAGCAGUAUUCCACUUUUAUAUAAGAGGGCCAGAUGGUUGAAUUAAGGAUGAAAUAACACAUAUUGAAAUUUGCUUUUAAAUCCACCUCUGUACACAGAGGUUCUCUUAAGAGAGGUUUACCGUGAAUCUUUGGCUUUGUCCUCUCCUAAUAAUACAGGAACUAUAAAGAAAUUAUUUAGGCAGUUAGUGAGGGUAAGAGAGUCUUUGUCAAGGUUUCCUUUUAAGAAAAGCAGCCCCAAAUCAUUUCUUUUCUAACAAAGAGCAGCCUGAAAAAUCAAGCUGCUGACAUAGAAAAGCAAGAUAGAAGCUUGCAUGGGUGAAUACCGGUAGCCGUGCCAAUGGGAAAAGGCUACCUGGGGGCCAGGCAUGUUCAACAUGGAGGCUCUAUCUUCCCUUUUCUUUGUCAACCACAUGUACAGUAAAGAAGCAGGCAACAUGGUGCUGGCCAGGUAGAGAACCCAGCUGCAUAAUAGAAGAUUACGGUGGGCUGGCCAGGUUCUUGCACUAUGCAAAUGACACACCUGGUCUGACCAAUCUCUCGUACCCUAUGUAAAUCAGACACUGCCUCCUCAAGCUCCUGUAUAAAAUCCCAUGCAUUUCACCACGGAACCGGAAGACCUACUCGGGAGCUCCUCUGUCUCUACAACAGAGAGAGCUUUUCUCUUUCUUUCACCUGUUAAAUCUCUGCUCUUAACCUCACUCCUUGUGUGUCUGUGUCCUUGAUUUCCUUGGCAUGAGUCAACAAACCUCAGGUAUUAUCCCAGAUGAACGAUGCCACUUCACUAAGGAAGAUAAAGGAAACUAGAGACUAAGCUCAAUAUCACACUCCUCCCAUGUGUAUGCACACUUACAUAUACAUCUUUGUUUUAAUUUAAGAAGGAGAAAGAAGUUAGGAAAGUGUUUAGGUUCCUAAGCUGUUUUUCCAUAAUCUGAGCUUUGUCAGAAGUAUUAGAACAGAUCUGUGGCAAAACUCCAAAACCGUGGACCCUCAGUGCAGUUUCUCAAAUGUGCUCACAUGUGAACCUAGAUCCAUCUUACACCUUGCUAUUCCAGUUUAAUAGUAGGGUAUUGAAUCUGGCUUCCUGUGCUGCAGUGAUUUAGAAGGUGUGUGAAAUAUGGAAUUGUUUUGUUGGACUCUUCCUUAUUCCUUAUCUGUUUACCACCCACCAAUACAGCAACUACUAAAAAUAAGGCUAGAGCUCUGUGUUCUUCUAGUAGUGAGAUGAAUCAAUGUUGAUAACGUGCCCUCUCUUGAUUCCCAGGUGUAUAAACAAUGAAAUUUUUGAUGAGUUUUCUUGCCCAAGGGGUGAAAUCUCCAGCCAAUAAAGAGAGCAUCUAUCUGUGUGUGAGUGCACAUGAGUGCAUGCCUUGUGUGUCCGUGUGUGUGCAUUCGUGUGCUGUGUUUUGAAAGAAGCUAAUUAAACUGUAGACACUAAAGCUUUAGAUGUUACUGAAUCAACUCAAUCAACCAGUUCCGGCAAGUCCAAAUAUUUGCAGUGGCAGCAAAUACGAAUAAGCGAUCACAUAUAGAACACUUGCCAUGUGGACAAUCAGAUGGAUUCUGUCAUCUAAGAUUUAAAAAGCAAAAUAAAAAAAUACCACGGAAACCUUCAUGUUAUGGGAAAGUGACUGCAUAUUUGUAAAGAACACAGUCAAUACUAGGUGUGUGAGCUAUAAAUAAUGUAGUGAUUAUUAUUUUGGUCUGAAACAUUUUAUGUCCUUUAGUCAUUAAAAUUAGGAUCUAUGAGACUGGGGCAGCAUGGAGAAAUGACUAUUAUACCAUGCAGUGUCUUUUUUUAAAAAAGAAAAAAAUAAACUUAGGGCAUCUAUUUCCCACCAUUUUCUCAUUUAAUUACAAUUCCCUGAUACCUUUCUACUAGUCUCGUACUGUUUGGGGGCAAACUAGUAAGAGGCUGGGGGCAAAAGGCUCCUCUUCCAAUAAAUUCCUGUGGAAGUAGGAAGCUAUUAUCUGUUUCUUCCUUUUAUAAUGGAGCUCAAAUUCUUACCUGAAAUAGACCCCAGCCCUGGAGGUAAAGGGUGUGGAGGAGAGGAAGAAAUAGCAGUGCUUGUGAGUGCACAUGUGUAUGUGUGCAUGUAUGUGGCAGGUGUUUGCAAACACGUGGGAAGCACCUAUGCUUUCCUUGUUUCCAGUGGGAGAAGCUGCCUAAAGCAUGUCUCUUCCUGUUCAGCAAGACAUCUUGGUUCCCUGAAAAUUCGUCAGGGAUGGUGAAAUCUCCAUCAACGAACACAGAAAGAUCCACCAAAGAGACAGUUCAUGGUGAAUUCAGUUAUAGUGACAUUCUAGAAGUUGACACCGGUCAACCCUUUCUAUCCACCUCCACCCUGUCCCAGUGUCUUUCUUUUGCUGUUGCUUCUCAUCACCAACAAACUCAUGUCUGGUUUUUGGGAAACAUUAGUGUGUAAUGGCUUCUGUAAAGUAAGAGCUCUCCUUUCUAGAAAAAUUUAAUAGUCUUAGCAAUUAAGCCCAUGUUUUAUAGUAUUGUUUCAUUAGGAAUAAACACAUAUAUUGUAAUUAAAAACUUUUCUCAGCUUCUGAGUGGUCUUUCCAUUUUAUCAAAUAUUAAGAAGUGGGAGUAUGAAUGAAGGAAUUAAAGAAGAAACAGAAAAGAAGGAAAAAAAUUCACAAAAUGUAAUACACAAUCACACCAGGCAACUGUAGUCUCUUUCCUGGAUAAUUUUUGUUAAAGUUUAUCAGACUCAGAAGCUGAUAUGAUAAAUAGCCCAAUAUAGUUUCUCCUUGUUGUCUAAUAUCAUUGCAGGUCUAUCUGGCUCAUUUAUAAUGUAAUUUCUUUCUGUUUAAAGGCAAAAUACUUCAAGUAUUUGACAAGCUAAACAUUAGCCCUAAAAAUGUGUAUCAAUCUGCAUUUAUAUAUUUUCUGCAUAAAAAGUUCUCAAACUCAAAAUCAAAAUAUUUACAAAGGUAUCAUGUGCUUAUCGAUGUCACACAUUUUCUUUGCAAAGUGCAUAAUGAAAAUUUCAGAAG
ensembl:lincRNA